rnacentral:rRNA from 1 species
UGUGUUGUUGGGUAGGGGAGCGUUCUGUAAGCCUGUGAAGGUGUGUCGUGAGGCAUGCUGGAGGUAUCAGAAGUGCGAAUGCUGACAUAAGUAACGAUAAAGCGGGUGAAAAGCCCGCUCGCCGGAAGACCAAGGGUUCCUGUCCAACGUUAAUCGGGGCAGGGUGAGUCGACCCCUAAGGCGAGGCCGAAAGGCGUAGUCGAUGGGAAACAGGUUAAUAUUCCUGUACUUGGUGUUACUGCGAAGGGGGGACGGAGAAGGCUAUGUUGGCCGGGCGACGGUUGUCCCGGUUUAAGCGUGUAGGCUGGUUUUCCAGGCAAAUCCGGAAAAUCAAGGCUGAGGCGUGAUGACGAGGCACUACGGUGCUGAAGCAACAAAUGCCCUGCUUCCAGGAAAAGCCUCUAAGCAUCAGGUAACAUCAAAUCGUACCCCAAACCGACACAGGUGGUCAGGUAGAGAAUACCAAGGCGCUUGAGAGAACUCGGGUGAAGGAACUAGGCAAAAUGGUGCCGUAACUUCGGGAGAAGGCACGCUGACACGUAGGUGAAGUGAUUUACUCACGGAGCUGAAGUCAGUCGAAGAUACCAGCUGGCUGCAACUGUUUAUUAAAAACACAGCACUGUGCAAACACGAAAGUGGACGUAUACGGUGUGACGCCUGCCCGGUGCCGGAAGGUUAAUUGAUGGGGUCAGCGCAAGCGAAGCUCCUGAUCGAAGCCCCGGUAAACGGCGGCCGUAACUAUAACGGUCCUAAGGUAGCGAAAUUCCUUGUCGGGUAAGUUCCGACCUGCACGAAUGGCGUAAUGAUGGCCAGGCUGUCUCCACCCGAGACUCAGUGAAAUUGAACUCGCUGUGAAGAUGCAGUGUACCCGCGGCAAGACGGAAAGACCCCGUGAACCUUUACUAUAGCUUGACACUGAACAUUGAGCCUUGAUGUGUAGGAUAGGUGGGAGGCUUUGAAGUGUGGACGCCAGUCUGCAUGGAGCCGACCUUGAAAUACCACCCUUUAAUGUUUGAUGUUCUAACGUGGACCCGUAAUCCGGGUUGCGGACAGUGUCUGGUGGGUAGUUUGACUGGGGCGGUCUCCUCCUAAAGAGUAACGGAGGAGCACGAAGGUUGGCUAAUCCUGGUCGGACAUCAGGAGGUUAGUGCAAUGGCAUAAGCCAGCUUGACUGCGAGCGUGACGGCGCGAGCAGGUGCGAAAGCAGGUCAUAGUGAUCCGGUGGUUCUGAAUGGAAGGGCCAUCGCUCAACGGAUAAAAGGUACUCCGGGGAUAACAGGCUGAUACCGCCCAAGAGUUCAUAUCGACGGCGGUGUUUGGCACCUCGAUGUCGGCUCAUCACAUCCUGGGGCUGAAGUAGGUCCCAAGGGUAUGGCUGUUCGCCAUUUAAAGUGGUACGCGAGCUGGGUUUAGAACGUCGUGAGACAGUUCGGUCCCUAUCUGCCGUGGGCGCUGGAGAACUGAGGGGGGCUGCUCCUAGUACGAGAGGACCGGAGUGGACGCAUCACUGGUGUUCGGGUUGUCAUGCCAAUGGCACUGCCCGGUAGCUAAAUGCGGAAGAGAUAAGUGCUGAAAGCAUCUAAGCACGAAACUUGCCCCGAGAUGAGUUCUCCCUGAGACUUAGAGUCUCCUGA